rnacentral:rRNA from 1 species
GCGGGCCCUACACAUUGCAAGUUCGAGCGGUAGCACAGAGAGCUUGCUCUCGGGUGACGAGCGGCGGACGGGUGAGUAAUGUCUGGGAAACUGCCUGAUGGAGGGGGAUAACUACUGGAAACGGUAGCUAAUACCGCAUAACGUCGCAAGACCAAAGUGGGGGACCUUCGGGCCUCAUGCCAUCAGAUGUGCCCAGAUGGGAUUAGCUAGUAGGUGGGGUAACGGCUCACCUAGGCGACGAUCCCUAGCUGGUCUGAGAGGAUGACCAGCCACACUGGAACUGAGACACGGUCCAGUCUCCUACGGGACGCAGCAGUGGGGAAUAUUGCACAAUGGGCGCAAGCCUGAUGCAGCCAUGCCGCGUGUGUGAAGAAGGCCUUCGGGUUGUAAAGCACUUUCAGCGGGGAGGAAGG